GUCGGAUUAUUGGGCGUAAAGGGCUCGUAGGUGGUUGAUCGCGUCGGAAGUGUAAUCUUGGGGCUUAACCCUGAGCGUGCUUUCGAUACGGGUUGACUUGAGGAAGGUAGGGGAGAAUGGAAUUCCUGGUGGAGCGGUGGAAUGCGCAGAUAUCAGGAGGAACACCAGUGGCGAAGGCGGUUCUCUGGGCCUUUCCUGACGCUGAGGAGCGAAAGCGUGGGGAGCGAACAGGCUUAGAUACCCUGGUAGUCCACGCUGUAAACGGUGGGUACUAGGUGUGGGGUCCAUUCCACGGGUUCCGUGCCGUAGCUAACGCUUUAAGUACCCCGCCUGGGGAGUACGGCCGCAAGGCUAAAACUCAAAGGAAUUGACGGGGCCCCGCACAAGCGGCGGAGCAUGCGGAUUAAUUCGAUGCAACGCGUAGAACCUUACCUGGGUUUGACAUGGAUCGGGAGUGCUCAGAGAUGGGUGUGCCUCUUUUGGGGUCGGUUCACAGGUGGUGCAUGGCUGUCGUCAGCUCGUGUCGUGAGAUGUUGGGUUAAGUCCCGCAACGAGCGCAACCCUUGUUCACUGUUGCCAGCACGUUAUGGUGGGGACUCAGUGGAGACCGCCGGGGUCAACUCGGAGGAAGGUGGGGAUGACGUCAAGUCAUCAUGCCCCUUAUGUCCAGGGCUUCACGCAUGCUACAAUGGCUGGUACAGAGAGUGGCGAGCCUGUGAGGGUGAGCGAAUCUCGGAAAGCCGGUCUCAGUUCGGAUUGGGGUCUGCAACUCGACCUCAUGAAGUCGGAGUCGCUAGUAAUCGCAGAUCAGCAACGCUGCGGUGAAUACGUUCCCGGGGCUUGUACACACCGCCCGUCAAGUCAUGAAAGUUGGUAACACCCGAAGCCGGUGGCCUAACCGUUGUGGGGGAGCCGUCGAAGGUGGGACUGGUGAUUAGGACUAAGUCGUAACAAGGUA
rnacentral:rRNA from 1 species